rnacentral:lncRNA from 1 species
ACCAUCAAGUCUUCAUGAGCUUUGGAGAACUAUAAACACAAGUGGUACUAAUAGCAAAGUAGCAGAAAGCCAUCAGAAGCACAAGAUGACCUGAACAGCAAGCCAUCAGAAAUUAGAAUGCAUCAACACCUGGUAUUGGCAAUAACGUAGAGUGGAUGAUAAUAUUUUAUAACCUUAAUAUGAGUUUCUUCAGUUCUUGACUCAUAUUCUCAUUUAUUCCACAAUUCUGAUUGUGAAACCCAAAUUAUGCAAGUAGACUACAGCGUCUUGAUGAAUAACAAUAACCCAAAUUUAAAAUGCAAAUAUGAAGAAGCCUACAAGAUCGAACGAACACCU